GAUGAACGCUGGCGGCGUGCCUAAUACAUGCAAGUCGAGCGAACAGACGAGGAGCUUGCUCCUCUGAUGUUAGCGGCGGACGGGUGAGUAACACGUGGAUAACCUACCUAUAAGACUGGGAUAACUUCGGGAAACCGGAGCUAAUACCGGAUAAUAUAUUGAACCGCAUGGUUCAAUAGUGAAAGACGGUUUUGCUGUCACUUAUAGAUGGAUCCGCGCCGCAUUAGCUAGUUGGUAAGGUAACGGCUUACCAAGGCAACGAUGCGUAGCCGACCUGAAAGGGUGAUCGGCCACACUGGAACUGAGACACGGUCCAGACUCCUACGGGAGGCAGCAGUCGGGAAUCUUCCGCAAUGGGCGAAAGCCUGACGGAGCAACGCCGCGUGAGUGAUGAAGGUCUUCGGAUCGUAAAACUCUGUUAUUAGGGAAGAACAAAUGUGUAAGUAACUAUGCACGUCUUGACGGUACCUAAUCAGAAAGCCACGGCUAACUACGUG
rnacentral:rRNA from 1 species